AAAGUCAUUAUCCUUCAGUUUUGCUCAUGUCAGCUGAGUGCUUUUCUCUUGAGCCCAUUUCUUGGGAAAUGCCGUGGGGGGGGAGGUGAUCACCUGUGAAGGAACAUUCUCUCUUUUAACAUGACAAAUGUGCCUAUAACAUUGUCCGUAUUAGUCAGAAAAUAAUUGUGCAGUGGCACAAUGUGGGAUACUUGAAAGAUGCUUGCUGCACAAAGGUUCCAGUACUCACCUGCAGAUGAAGAAAUGGGUUUCUAAGCCAUCUCAUUUCUAUUGCUAACGAAAAGCUUUGGAAGGCACCUGUGAAUCAGAGCUCCAGCUGCUCUCAUGGUAGGGGAAGUUAGGCCUUGAAAGGAUACACGGAUUAGCCCGUCAGAAAAGCAAACAGUAGCAUCAGCACAAGUAGAAAAUAGGGUUGUUAAGCUAACAGAGAAGUAGGCUAAAGCAUUGCCAUAAUUACGUGGUGGAAAUUUGCUGGGAAGGAGAGACUGCUGGGAUGAGAGAAGGAAAAGAAGGAGAAGAGAAGGCAGGGCAGUGACUGACAGGUCAACAUAGAAGAGGUCUGUCCACUGGGAAGAGCCUACAGGAAGAAAGGCCUUGCUUGUAACAAAACAAUAAAGCAAGUGGAAAAAGACCUUGUAAUUUGGUACCUAGUGCAUGUGAAAUAGGAAGACCGGGUGCUCAGACCCACAUUCUUUGGUCGGUUCUUAUUGUAAAAAGUGAAUUGAGCUUGGAAGACAGCUCAUGAAGUCACAGUUUAUGUGUUUACAGAUAAGGCAUUGCUGAUCAAGGGCAGAUGGAAACUUGAAGGAACUGGUUAGGCCUAGGUGGAGAUUUUCCUGGAAAAUGAACGAAGUAGAGAAUAGAGCACAGCAGAAAAUAGCUGCAUUAUUAAUGGGCAGAACAUGUGAUAGUCCUCUCUAAGGUUAUCCAUAGAACUUACUUGUCUGCUUGUGCUGGGGGUGUUAGAAGACGUGAGGAACAAAGAUGUGCUUAUUUCAGAGAUGAAAGGCAUGGAACAUGGUAUCUACCUGUUUCCAGUUUGGGGUUAAGCCAUUUUCUGCAGCCAGGCUUCACAGGCUGGUCUGGCCAUCCAAUCCUGGCAUUUUAAAAUCCUAAUUAAGGCCACUGUGGUCCAGAAUGUUUAGCCAUUCUAAUCCCUAAUGACAUCAUCCCUCUGUGUUGUGAUCAGUUAGUCAGCAAUUGAGCAUCAGUCACUCAACCCAGAUUGGGCCUGAUCUGGGGGUCUUACACGUGGGAUAACAUUUGAACACUGGGUUAUAGACUGAAGAUGGUCAAAAAAGUAGAUACCAGCUAGAGAUUAAAGAUUAAAGAUUUCAAUAACAAGUACUUAUCACCCAGGAAUUUUUCUCUUCAGUGGUUUCUUUUUUCGGUGGUCUUCUCUGAAGACUGCUAAUGAGUAUUUCAUGAUGAUAACUGGGGAGGGGAUCUGUAUGGAAGAGACCAUUUUCAUUUGAAUGUUCAGCUGCAAGAACUCCCCCUUUUCUGCUGUCAACUGAGUAUUGUCCUUUCUGAUGUUGGGUAAGAAAACCUUCCGUAAGGAGAUUAAAUAUGAUUGCUUCAUCAGAAAAUUCUGCCAGCUCCUCUAAAGAGUGGGAAUACCACAGAAGCCUUUUAACAAAAUGCUAUUUCCCCUCUUGGAGUGACUCAUAGGUAAUAUUAAUACUAGGUAACAUUUGCUUAGCAUUUAAUAUGAACCAGGACUGUUCACAGAAAAAAAGAAAAAAUUGAGGUUUGGGGAGGUAAUAUACCUAAAUUUAUGGAGCUAUGAAAUGGGGGAAUCCAGGGAGUUCCCUCGUGACUAGGUGGGUUAAGGAUUCAGCAUUGUCACUGCUGUGGCUCGGGAGUGUGGGUUCGAUGCCUGGCCUGGGAACUUCUGCAUGCUGUGGACUUGGGCAAAAAAUAAAAAUAAAAUAAAUGGAGGAGCCAGUUUGCACACACAGGAGGACCACCCCCUGGCUCUCAGCUGCUGGGAACUGGCCUCGGUUAUUACUUAGUAUGCUAAUAGCUUAUGUUCCUGAUGGUUUAUCUCUUCCAGUUGCUUAUGCCAGGAGUAUAUCCUGGUGUUCUGGAAGGAAAUCUGAGCUUAAUGGAGAAUUAAUUGUAAUAUAUUAGUUGAUAUGAGAGAUAUAACUUACUCUCUGAUUCGACCCCUAUCCUGGGAACUUCCAUAUGCUACAGGUGCAGCCCUUUAAAAAAAAAAAAAAAAAAGCUUAUUGUAUAGAUUACAUAAAAUAGCACGUGUUUCAGAAAGUUGACUUGAAUCCUUCCACUUGUGUGGAAGUUCUCAUCAUUCUUUCCCUGCUCAGGGGAGCAUGGCUUUGCCUCUCAUUAGUAGUUUUGGGGUACUGAGCAGUUAAGUGGGAUUGAAGAGCACAUGGUAGCUAUUUCUGAAAUUCAUCCCAACCCCCAGAUUGACUCAAGUGUGUGAAUCCCUCGCCCAGUCUUUCUCUGACCAGUGGUUGUAGUUUGUUAAUAAUGAAUGAACAUCACCCAUAGGUCCUGAAAUUAGCAAGUGUUAAAUGUUAUGUGAUUAUUAGGUGAAAAACAAGAUAACCUAGUCAGUGGACUUAAUUAGGUUGUGAUUGCCCAGUUGCUGCUUCAUGAUAAUUAUAUUCAUAACCCCGUUUCUAGACGUCAACUACAAUUAUCAAAAUUGACCCCAGCACAGGUAAGUGUUAGCAAUCUUAUUUGAAGCAGCUUCUGAAGGGUGAAUUUCUGAUGUUCCUGGUACAUUCCUCCUGGUCCUUUAUCCUUUCUUGCCACCUUCCCAUCAUCUUUUUCCCCAUUUUAAUAGAAAGGUCAGGCGCAACAUCAUCUUGUCUCUGACCAUGCACAUGUUAUAUAGCUGGUAUUGGUGUCUAAAAAAAUAUAAAGUUUUAAGAUUUUCAGACUCAAAUAUGGCUGAAAAAAUUAAUAAAUCAGCAAAUAGGAAUCUUGAAGCCUAAACAUCUAAAAUUUUUGGCUAGAUUUUUUUUCUCAGCUCAUGACACCUGUUCAGUAGAUUUAAUGGGAUUCAUUUGAAUAGAUCUUUUACUUUAUAAGGCAUGGUCUUAAAAUGAAUAAGAGAGUCAUCUGUGUUCAAGAUAAUGCCUUGUCAAUGUGAUCAUCAAGGUCUGAGGGGUACAGAAUGAGGGCUUUUAACUUUAUGUGACCACCCUCCAUGUCUUCCCAAAUUCAUGGCAUUUGCCUUCAGUGUAUUUUAGUAGAAAAAGAAAAUGUCAUUGCCAGGGACAUUCUUUACUGUUAUCUCUUAAACGAAGUCAUUGAUUUCUAGGAAAUAUAAACAACAACCUGUAUCAGAAGUGGGUAUGUCAGUGUGACACUGUGAAUCACUGGGCCAGAUUGUCACUUGGCAGCCUUCCCUUUCUGACGUGCAGUUAGUUAUAUGGGAAAGUAAUGCAAUUAAAAUCUGCAAACCAUGGCUGAACUUCAUUGCAGCUGAACGGUUUGAGAACAGCAAGGAACGAGGCUACCAUGUCUACCGAUAUAUGGGUGUGUGUGUGUAUGUAUUUAUGUAUAAAUAUGUAUAAGUAUGUGAAUAUAAAAUAUAUUGUGAAUAUAUUUUAGGUAGAUGGACCAAUCGAUCAAUAGAUUGAUCUAUCGAUUGGUUGAUUGAUAGAUAUAUCUUCUUGCUGGGAGAAGGCUUAUUUUUUUGCUGACGGAUCAGGAGUGCAAAUUUCUCAGAAUUUCUGUGUGAACAUGUAGUUCUCUGUGCUGGGGUUUUCCUUAAGAAAGUGGUGUGUAGUUGGUGGAGCAUACUCUUUGGGUCUUGCACAAGCAAAAGUUAAAUUGCACCUUUGUUCUUGCCCAGCUGUGUGAUCUUGAAUAAGUCACUUAACUUCUCUGUUCCCAUGAUUGCCUACCCAAUAAAAUGGGGAUAAUAAUAUGAAUCUGGAGAACUGACGUAAGGACCGAAACGUGUAUAAGGGCCCUUCUUCCUUGGGAAUAGAGAAAAUGAGGUGGGGAGGUCUAGACUGGCUAUGAACUGUUUUGUCCUCUGUCUUAGACUCAAUGUUAAGAUUCAUGUUAUGCCAUGUCUGACUUAAGUGAUGGGAAGUCCUUGUUGCUUGUAUCCAUUUACUUUUCUGGGUUGUGAGCCUCCGGUCUGGCUGGCUGUGGUCCUGAAGCUCUCCGUAGUUGGGAUUUAUAAACCACCUGAAGAUGAUCCCAGGUCUCCUUGGGAAAGUGCACUGACCCUCCACUUUGCAGAGAUAGAUAUUCCCUGGGGUGUUGUGGGAAUGAUUCUGAAUCAAGGUGAACUUCAAGAGCUUUUUGGAAAAAUGGUGUUAUUACCAUGCCUCUUGUCUGGCAUUGUUCUGGCAAAAAUGAUGUGUCUAAGAGCACUGUAUUCACUCAGUGAAAAUAGGAGCUAUGCCCCUUUCUGGCUUUGCUCAGAUAGCUCUCUCUGAGCCAGUUUGAGGGCUGUCCUCUGGCCUUGCUUUGAAUUGCAUGGUCUUCUCUGUGCAAACGUUUAUUUUAGUAGUCCAUGUCCACUUGGUCUUACUAAUGUACUGUAAUAUCAGAUGCUUGGAGAUCUCAGGGGUAGGGAGGCUAAUUUUAGAGUGCCUUCAGGAUAGAUGAUAUUUCAAAAUGUGGAAGGGUGUUGGUAGGGCUUACCAGGACUUACCUAACCUGGACUGCUCCAUGUCAGUAGAACCUUCUUUGGUGGCUCCUUGGUGGCAGCAAUAAAAAACGAGUCACUAGUUCUUAGGUAACAAAGUAUAGUGAUUUUUUUUCACCUUUCAAAGCAGAUUAGUCAUGAAGACUUAGUUAUUUUUACAUUUUGAAGGUUUCCGGAAAGGCAAGGGUGUUGGUGGAAAUUCUUUUUUUUGGGGGGGGGGCUGUGUCUGUGGCCUAUAGAACUUACCAGGCCAGGGAUCAAACCUGAACCACAGCAGUGACCUAAGCCGCUGCAGUGACAAUGCCUGAUCCCUAACCCCCUGUGCCACAAGAGAACUCCCAGAAUUUUUUUUUUUUUUUAAUUAUUGAAAAGAAACCUUCAUGUUGCUACUUUAAAAUUGUGGCCAGAGAUAUUGGAGGAGGAGAGAAAAAAGAGACCAUAUAUUUUAUUUAUUUACCAGUGUUCAGAUCUCUAGGAUGAUCUCAAGUGAGAGAUUUUUGGUCUCAGAAGGUGGACCCCAAAAUGAAAGGAGUGGAAGUGAAGCCCUGGCUAUGGUGUGGUUAAAAGAAUGUGGAAUGCCCUCAGUCAAGUAAGAAAGGUCGAGAGAAACAGGAGGGACUGAAACUAGGACUUCCUGGGAUGCCAGAAAAGCUCUGGGAGUGGAAAGCUCUUUCCAUUUUCCCCAAGCCCUAGGGAGGGAAAGGUAGAUUUGGGGGUGCCACUUUGCCACGUGUUCAGUUCUUUCCAAGCUGUAAGAUCCUUACUUAUUUGUGGCAGCCUAGUAGUAGUAGGAAAGUGAUUGGCUUCACUUGGGUCAAGUUCCUCAUUUGCUCCUGGCCUCCAGUUUAUCUUCAAAAUGGAAUUCCCUCUUUGGCGAAGGCUUAGAGACAUAAUGUAUGUAAAACACCCAGCACGCUGCCAGGUACUCAGUGAACGGCCACCUCUGCAGUUCAUUUGCAAUGAUCGAUUAGUGGCCAUCUAGUGCCUGUGGUGCAGAUGGCUUGCUCCUUGCCAUUUUUUUCUGCCGCCUGGCUUUGCCUUCCUAGUUUGUAGUUGUGGGAUGAUGAUAGAGUUGGAAAGAAUUCAGUGUCUUCACUCUCUCGUAAAAUGUUUUAUAGAUGCUGUUAUAUUUAAGAAAUAUGUGCUCAUUCAUCUUUAUUCAUUCAUCAAACAUUUAUUGAGGGCCCUUUGAGUACUUGGCACGCCUGCAGUGUGCCUAGGUGGUCGAACCCAGUGGAGGUGGGAAUCUCUCUACCAGUUGUGUUAGGUUCUUUGUCUUGGUAAUUGGGAGUGAUUAUGAUGGAGAUGGCGGUCCUUAAUCACACUCCAAUGAACCAGAGGGUGGCGAACCCUGGCCCGAGGCAGUGAGACCUGGAUUCCUAUUUAGAUGCAUGUAUUUCUGCGUCUUUGUGUGUAUAUGUUUACAAUAUAAUUUGCUAACUGUGUAGUUAAGGCUACUGGGGUGCAUAAUCUGGCAGAUCAUUUAAAUAUUUACACCGAAAUAUCUUGUUCUCUGUUGGUGUGAAGUAGAGUUUCCAGUUAUUUUUAGGUCAUUUUCAUCUUAGCAACCCUGUUGGAGAUGAACCAGACACACUGCUGUAAACUGUCCCCACAUUUUGAUCGAAUUUAAUAAAGUAAAGUUGAAUGGUUUGGUCCCAAGAGGCCAACCAACCAUCUGGUUAGCAGAAGGGUUAGGUCGAGUAUUGCAUGGCUGCUGAGAGGGCCACAGACCAGCCCCGAUGUCCUGGUAAUAUGUCCAGUGGCUGCAUGCAUUAAGCAUGGAAAUGGUGCUUUCAAGUCUGCAGAGCCAGCAGUUCUGUUACCACCGCUGUGACGCAGGAGAUAAUUCAGCUGGGCAAGCGGCAGCGUGGGGGUGGAUCUACAGUACAGGAUGUGUAAUGUCAACAUGAAGGAUUGGAGCUGGCAGAAGGAAGGGAAGCACUCAUUUCAUGCCAGUGCAGGAAGCCUAAAGAUGCAUCCCGCCCCCACACCCCCUUUGCAUCUUGUCCUCUUCUGGAGCUUUCCCAUGAUGUGUUAAAUGAUUACCUUGUGCAUGGUCCAUGGCAAAACUUCAGCUGAUUUCCUGCCUCUUUUGGAACCUGUCAGCAUAAACCUAGUGAACCACAUUCCACACACAUGUAGGGCGGGCAGAGGCAGGAGUUAGUGGCACCGCCUGGGAGGAGGAGCCAGAGUUUUGUUAGGCAGGAGCAUCUUUGCGCUUGGAGAUGGAAUCCCAUUGUACGUCCCUUUGUGCUCAGCUCUGAGACUGGCCAUCCGUUCAAAGGCUGCAAUCAUCUCGGCACAUUGUGCUGCAGCUGUAGUUGGGAGAAGGCUGCAGAAUGGUUCCAGUGAUUCUGCAGAAGCUCGGCAAUUACAUAAUUGCUAUGUAACUGGAGAGAGCCAUCAGGAUUGUCUAGUUCUCCUGGAGAGAAAGCUCCUACAAUUUGAGGGCUAGAUUGUUUUCCCUUGUUAAACCUGAAGGCUGAUGAGCAAGUACAUCAAGCCACCAGGCUGGAACCGGGGCCUCUCAGGGGCCUGAGAGGGCACAAAAUUCACAAGUACACUUGGCUGAACACUCAGUGGACUUCACAGCUGUGUUAAAGGGAGAGAGAGGGCGAGAGCAAGUCACUGACUCUUGGAAAAGUGGAUUCUUAUAUCAGCCAAACAUGAUAUUGGACUUGCCUCUAGUAUUUGGGACUCUGUUCUGUAUGCAUUCAAAGCAUAGAGGAUUCCAGUCUCCUGCUCCCAGGAAUGGGACUAGCAGAGUUGCACUUGACCACCAAGAGCCCUCUCAGUUUCUGCUGCCUGCUCAGAAGGAUUUCACAGUCUUUCUCUCUCUUUUCAAUUUUUUAUUUUUUGCUUUUUAGGACUGCCCCUGCAACAUAGGGAAGUUCCCAGGCUAGGGGUCGAAUCAGAGCUACAGCUGCCAGCCUACACCACAGCCACAGCAAUGUGGGAUCUGAGCCUUGUCUGCGACCUACACCUCACCUCACUGCAACGCUGGAUCCUUCACCCACUGAAUGAGGCCUGGGAUCGAACCCGCACCCUCAUGAGUACUAGUUGACUUCGUUACUGCUGAGCCAUGAUGGGAACUCCUCGCAGCCUCUCUGAAAGCUCUUAGAUGCAGAUGAGUGGAAGGAGGGUGAGGCCUACCCUACCCCUCAGGCCUUUCUAAAUGCGCUGGCUCCCUGGGCUUCAGACCCUGGUGCAGUGCCUGGGCAGCCUGGGGGCUGGAGCAGACUGGACAGUUUGUCUGGGAAGACCUCACAGCGAAGGAAUGAAUUCCUUCUUUCAGCUACCUUACCGCUUGUUUUCCCUGGUGGAGAAAAUUUUGAGGUGGAGUUGGUUAGAUGUAGGCGCAAGGGUUGCAUUAAACCAGCGAGAGCCUCGGGCUCCAAGUCUCAUCAGAUACCUACCGAAGCAGUCACCUAAAAUUAGCCACACCUCCUAACCCAAGUGAGGGUUUUAUGUUUGUUUAUGUUAAGUAGCUCUAAAUUUCAGCAAUCCUACCUUUCUGGGCACAGUUUUGUGGAGCUGGUAGAGUAGAAAGAGUGGUUGUUGGGGUAAUUUUUAUUAAUGGCCUAAGUUGGACCUUUCAUAACUAUGAUAUUCAUCUGUUUUUUUCUAUUUAAAUGUGUUUGUACUCAGAACUUCAGCCUAAGGGAAAAUUCUACCUUGUGGCUCCUUUGUGAAUUAAAAGGGAGUCCCCAGGAGUUCCC
rnacentral:lncRNA from 1 species